AGUGAACGCUGGCGGCGUGCUUAACACAUGCAAGUCGAACGAGAACGGGCUAUAGCUUGCUAUAGUUGUCAGCUAAGUGGCGCACGGGUGAGUAAUGUAUAGGUAAUAUGCCUCUUACUAAGGGAUAACAAAUGGAAACGUUUGCUAAUACCUUAUACUCCUUAUUAACAUAAGUUAAUAAGGGAAAGAUUUAUUGGUAAGAGAUUAGCCUGUAUUGUAUCAGUUAGUUGGUGGGGUAAUGGCUUACCAAGACUAUGACACAUAACUGGUUUGAGAGGAUGAUCAGUCACACUGGAACUGAGACACGGUCCAGACUCCUACGGGAGGCAGCAGUGGGGAAUAUUGCACAAUGGACGAAAGUCUGAUGCUGCGACGCCGCGUGGAGGAUGACACAUUUCGGUGCGUAAACUCCUUUUAUAUGAGAAGAUAAUGACGGUAUUAUAUGAAUAAGCACCGGCUAACUCCGUGCCAGCAGCAGCCGCCG
rnacentral:rRNA from 1 species